rnacentral:rRNA from 1 species
GAUGAACGCUGGCGGCGUGCCUAACACAUGCAAGUCGAGCGAUGAAGUUUCCUUCGGGAAACUGAUUAGCGGCGGACGGGUGAGUAACACGUGGGCAACCUGCCUUGUAGAGGGGAAUAGCCUUCCGAAAGGAAGAUUAAUACCGCAUAACAUUACCGAGUGGCAUCACAUGGUAAUCAAAGGAGCAAUCCGCUACAAGAUGGGCCCGCGUCGCAUUAGUUAGUUGGUGGGGUAAUGGCCUACCAAGACGACGAUGCGUAGCCGACCUGAGAGGGUGAUCGGCCACAUUGGGACUGAGACACGGCCCAGACUCCUACGGGAGGGAGCAGUGGGGAAUAUUGCACAAUGGAGGAAACUCUGAUGCAGCAACGCCGCGUGAGCGAUGAAGGUCUUCGGAUCGUAAAGCUCUGUCUUUAGGGAUGAUAAUGACAGUACCUAAGGAGGAAGCCACGGCUAACUACGUGCCAGCAGCCGCGGUAAUAC